GACGAACGCUGGCGGCGUGCUUAACACAUGCAAGUCGAACGGAAAGGCCCUGCUUUUGUGGGGUGCUCGAGUGGCGAACGGGUGAGUAACACGUGAGUAACCUGCCCUUGACUUUGGGAUAACUUCAGGAAACUGGGGCUAAUAUCGGAUAGGAGCUCCUGCUGCAUGGUGGGGGUUGGAUAGUUUCGGCGGGUGGGGAUGGACUCGCGGCUUAUCUGCUUGUUAGUGCGGUAGUGGCUUACCAAGGCUUUGACGGGUAGCCGGCCAGUGAGAGUGAGCGAAGACAGUGAGACGGAGGUGAGGCACAGGCUGGGACGGGAGGAAACAGUGGGGAAUAUUGCACCAUAGACGGAGGACUGAUGCAGCAACGCCGCGUGAGGGAUGACGGCCUUCUGGUUGUAGACCGCUUUCGCCUGUAAAGAAGCGUGAGUGAAGGAAAUGGGUAAAAAAGCAACGGCUAACUACGUG
rnacentral:rRNA from 1 species